UGCUGUAAACUUCCAUGUGUACUUGCAGGGUUAAGAAGGUGGUGUGGUUGCAUGACUGAACAGAGAGGCAUUUAAACACAUGCUUAAAUGAUUUGUGGAACUGAGGCCUGGAAACCCCCCAGUUUCUCCUCAGCCUGAAGGAAGAAUCAACAGAUGACAUACGAAGUUGGUCAUGGAGUUCAGAGAAUUGCCUUCCCCUCCCUGAAAGGAAAUUUGGAGAAGAGGAAAAAAAAGAAGAGAAAAACAACCCCAAACCUCUCCUCUAGCACUUCAUUUUUACAGAAAUGUCCCCGGUUUCCAGAGGAGUUUAACUUUUUUUCCAGUAUCCACCAGAAUAACAAUCAAAACACCAGCACAGAUGCAAUGUCAGAGGCGAUGUUCUGACCAAGCAGGAAACAACCUUCACAGUCCAGCAGGAAGAAGACAAAAGAAGGGUACGUCUCAGCUGCUGAUGCACAGUUCCCAACAGCCUAUUAUGUCCAUGAAAACAGGCAUAGGGCCCUUUAUCUGUGGAAAGGGAGACACCCAUGUGUUUCUUCAGUUUUUUCCAAGGAUUCCCAGAAGUCUAUGAUCACCUCUAUUCUUCUCACCUCCCUCUGAGCACACUGGAGUCAUCCAGGCCCCAAAACGCAGUUCAGGAAGGGCAGAGCUCCUUUUGAUUUUUACACAUAGAAAAUAUAUUGUUGGAAGUUAUAUUGCACUGA